rnacentral:ribozyme from 1 species
AGUAAAAAAACUGCUAUCCCUACCUCCUCGCGGUACCGGCCGGAAACUAUGAGCAACCUUAGGGAAGA